rnacentral:rRNA from 1 species
CCAUGCCGCGUGGAUGAUGAAGGUCUUAGGAUUGUAAAAUCCUUUCACCGGGGACGAUAAUGACGGUACCCGGAGAAGAAGCCCCGGCUAACUUCGUGC